rnacentral:rRNA from 1 species
UGGGGAAUAUUGCACAAUGGGCGAAAGCCUGAUGCAGCAACGCCGCGUGAGUGAUGAAGGCCUUCGGGUUGUAAAACUCUGUCUUCUGGGACGAUAAUGACGGUACCAGAGGAGGAAGCCACGGCUAACUACGU